AGAGAUGGUCACCCAAGAGGGGGGUAAAUUGGGUGUUUUAAAACUUUUUGUCUAAUUAAAACAAGACACACAAGUGUAUGUGCUAAAGUAAGAAUAAAGUUAUAAGUACAGUCAAUCGCAAACACAAAAAUUUAUAGUGGUUCGGAGCUUCCACUGCUCCUACAUCCACUCCCCAAACACCUUUGGGAAUUUUCACUAUAAUCAGCGAUUACAGUCCGGUAGUUUUCCG
rnacentral:lncRNA from 1 species